UGGGGAAUUUUGGACAAUGGGCGAAAGCCUGAUCCAGCAAUGCCGCGUGUGUGAAGAAGGCCUUCGGGUUGUAAAGCACUUUUGUCCGGAAAGAAAUCCUUGGCUCUAAUACAGUCGGGGGAUGACGGUACCGGAAGAAUAAGCACCGGCUAACUACGUGCCAGCAGCCGCGGUAAUACGUAGGGUGCAAGCGUUAAUCGGAAUUACUGGGCGUAAAGCGUGCGCAGGCGGUUUGCUAAGACCGAUGUGAAAUCCCCGGGCUCAACCUGGGAACUGCAUUGGUGACUGGCAGGCUAGAGUAUGGCAGAGGGGGGUAGAAUUCCACGUGUAGCAGUGAAAUGCGUAGAGAUGUGGAGGAAUACCGAUGGCGAAGGCAGCCCCCUGGGCCAAAUACUGACGCUCAUGCACGAAAAGCGUGGGGAGCAAAACAGGAUUAGAUACCCUGGUAGUCCACGCCCUAAAACGAUGUCAACUAGUUGUUGGGGAUUCAUUUCCUUAGUAACGUAGCUAACGCGUGAAGUUGACCGCCU
rnacentral:rRNA from 1 species